GACGAACCGUGCGAACGUUGUUCGGAUUCACUGGGCUUAAAGGGCGCGUAGGCUGUUCGUUAAGUCGUGGGUGAAAUCUUUCGGCUCAACCGGAAAAUUGCCCCCGAUACUGGCGAGCUCGAGGGAGGCAGGGGCAGCGGGAACUACCAGUGGAGCGGUGAAAUGCGUUGAUAUUGGUAGGAACGCCGGUGGCGAAAGCGCGCUGCUGGACCUCUCCUGACGCUGAGGCGCGAAAGCUAGGGGAGCAAACGGG
rnacentral:rRNA from 1 species